UUAUUUCUGUUUCAUCUCCAGGUUGAGACUGGCACGUUUUUGAUAAACUCAUUAUUAUACAGCUCGUUAACGUGAUCCUGCAGUCUCCACAGCCCUCGCGUCAGUGCGCUGUCAUGCCAUCUCCUUCCUCUGAGCCCACAGAGUCAGGAGGACACUGACUGCACACGUGCAGACGCCCAGCAGGGCACCAGGGGGCACUGCAGCACAGCGGCUCGAGAUGAACUCCCUGCCUGGCCGGUUGCACCCUGGCUGUAAGGGAACCCGGGGGGUGGUGGGUCAGUGUCACCUCUGGCACAGCCAGCCGAACCAUCGCCGACAGCAGCACAGUGUCCUCUGGCUCCGCGUCAGGAUGCUUAUCGAUUCAGAGGUUAAAGUCCUUCUCCACCGUCCACACAGUGGGCAAAGCUGAGCCUUGAUUCACGUUCUCUGAACCUCUGAAGAGCGUUUAUCCUGUUGUGGUCAUUCGGUCCGCGUCCCUUGCUGUCCAGAGGACCUCGUCCAGCCUGGCUUCACUGGGUGCUCAGAGUCCACUGUCCACCUCUGGGGGAGUGUCCGCGCCGGCCUGGUGCUGCGCCUCAUGGUUUCCUGUCCUCUGUGCCACUUCCUGUGUCCAGCAGCUCGUCCGGCGCGCGGGACGGCUGUGCGGCGCUGACCGCUGCCCAGGCGCUGACCGACGCCCUGCAGCUCUGCCUGGGCUCGGAGCCCCUGGAGGAGACCAGCCUGCCCCACGUGCAGGGCCUCACUCACAGGCUGGAGGCAGUGCGCAGGUCACUCCUCAGCGCUGGCGGGGUCCUGAGCUCUGUGGCCUCCUGUCCGCCGGCGGCUGGUCUCUCCGACCCUCAGAAGCUGACCGACAGGCUCCAGCGCCUCUCCUUGUACCUGAAGAGAAGGCUGGAGCUGUUGAGGAAGCUGCUCCAGGCCCAGUCGAAGUUCUCGGACUCUGUGCAGGACGUCCUGCAGUGGGAGCGGAGGGGCUGUGCCCAGCUGGACCGGCUGCACUGCCGGACUGCAGAGAGCCGAGGGAGGGAGGCCAUGGUGUCCAUUCUGAAGCAGCUGGAGAGUUUCUCCUCAGAGCUGGGGCAGUACAGGAACAAGCUGGAGCUCUGCCACACCCUGCACUCCACAGCCACGAGGCUGCUGCAGAAGCUGGACUCCUCCUCGGCGAAGUUCAGGGCCUCGGUGGGCCUGCAGAGCCAGGGCCUGGAGUGUGGGGCUGUCUGGACAGAGCGCCUGCGCGGGGCCAACACCAAGCAGUUUGAGGAGGCCUCGGCUGACUUCCUGUCCCUGGUGCGGCUGGCCUCCCACUUCCACACGCACCUGGAGUUCCUGUGCAAGUGGGGCUGCGGGGUGGCGGUCUCCGUCAGGGCUGAGCCGCCCCCUCCCCGGCCCCAGCCCCCUCUGUCCCAGCGAGAGAGGGCCUCCCAGUUCUUCCAGUCCACGCUGUGCGGAAAGAGACGCUCCGUCUCCUCAUCCUGAGCUGGAUAUCACGAACGAGCCACUGGAUUGCAGAACAAAAGCUUGUGAAAGUGUGCUGUGUGUACUAACCCUGAGCUGUGUGUACUAACCCUGAGCUGAGUGUACUAACCCUGAGCUGUGUGUACUGGCCCUGUGCUGUGUGUACUAACCCUGAGCUGAGUGUACUAACCCUGUGCUGUGUGUACUGGCCCUGCGUUGUGUGUACUAACCCUCUGCUGUGUCUACUGGCAGAGCACUGUCUGUACUAACCCUGAGCUGUGUGUACUGGCCCUGUGCUGUGUGUACUAGCCCUGAGCUGUGUGUACUAACCCUGAGCUGUGUGUACUGGCCCUGAGCUGUGUGUACUAACCCUGAGCUGUGUGUACUAACCCUGAGCUGUGUGUACUAACCCUGAGCUGAGUGUACUGGACCUGCACUGUGUAUACUAACCCUGUGCUGUGUGUACUGGCCCUGCGCUGUGUGUACUAACCCUCUGCUGUGUCUGCUGGCAGAGUGCUGUCUGUACUAACCCUGAGCAUAGUGUACUGUCCCUGCGCUGUGUGUACUGGCCCUGCACUGUGUAUACUAACCCUGUGCUGUGUGUACUGGCCCUGCGCUGUGUGUACUGGCCCUGAGCAGAGUACACUGGCCCUGCGCUGUGUGUACUAACUCUGCGCUAAAUGUACUCAUAAUGUGCUGUGAGUGGAGCUGGGGGUGUAUCACAGUUGCGCUGGUUUCUCGGUAUGUCAGUUCAUGUGUCAGUAUUAGCUACAACAUGUCAGUGUGUCCUGCAUGCCAAUAAAAUUUGACUGUGAAAUGAAUUUGCAGCAUGUGAGAUUAGAAUUUUAUGUGGCAGUAUUGUCAAAGAAAAAGCCUGUCC
ensembl:lincRNA